rnacentral:snRNA from 1 species
GGACAUGAGGGUGAUCUGGCUUCAACAGCUUUCUCCCCACUGAUCAUCAGGGCUGAUCUGGCUGAUCUGGCAGGCUCGGCAGGUGUCCCCUUCCUCAUCCCCUUCCUCCCUCCAUGAUCCAUGCAUCCUUCCCAAAGCUACAGGCUUGGUCAUAGAGAAUGACUUUCCCCAAAUACAGGAGGACCAGUUUUCAGUCAAGGGUAUAUUAGUAGCUACACUCCCCUGCUAGAACCUCCAAACAAGCUCUCGAGAAAUGUCAGAUAGGUGUCCUAUUCAGGGAUAAGCACUCUGU